GAUGAACGCUGGCGGCGUGCCUAAUACAUGCAAGUCGAGCGAACAGACGAGGAGCUUGCUCCUCUGACGUUAGCGGCGGACGAGUGAGUAACACGUGGAUAACCUACCUAUAAGACUGGGAUAACUUCGGGAAACCGGAGCUAAUACCGGAUAAUAUAUUGAACCGCAUGGUUCAAUAGUGAAAGACGGUUUUGCUGUCACUUAUAGAUGGAUCCGCGCUGCAUUAGCUAGUUGGUAAGGUAACGGCUUACCAAGGCAACGAUGCGUAGCCGACCUGAGAGGGUGAUCGGCCACACUGGAACUGAGACACGGUCCAGACUCCUACGGGAGGCAGCAGUAGGGAAUCUUCCGCAAUGGGCGAAAGCCUGACGGAGCAACGCCGCGUGAGUGAUGAAGGUCUUCGGAUCGUAAAACUCUGUUAUUAGGGAAGAACAAAUGUGUAAGUAACUAUGCACGUCUUGACGGUACCUAAUCAGAAAGCCACGGCUAACUACGUG
rnacentral:rRNA from 1 species